rnacentral:rRNA from 1 species
UACGUAGGGGGCAAGCGUUGUCCGGAUUUAUUGGGCGUAAAGAGCGUGUAGGCGGCCUGACAGGUCAGCUGUGAAAACUCGAGGCUCAACCUCGAGACGUCGGUUGAAACCAUCUGGCUAGAGUCCGGAAGAGGAGUGUGGAAUUCCCGGUGUAGCGGUGAAAUGCGCAGAUAUCAGGAAGAACACCCGUGGCGAAGGCGGCUCUCUGGGACGGUACUGACGCUGAGACGCGAAAGCGUGGGGAGCGAACGGG